rnacentral:tRNA from 1 species
ACUUUGGUAGUCUAACUGGUAAGGACGCUCGCACGAAAUGUAAAAGAUUCGGGUUCGACUCCCGGCUGAGGUA